CAAACUUCUGGAAUAAAAGGGAAUCGUGACAUGUCACACAUGUUGUAUGCUUAAGGGGUUAAUGUAUUAAUUACAAUAUAUUACUGAAACCAACCCUUAGAUAUUGUUUCACAGAAAUCCAUGCACACCUUCUGGUUUCUUAAAGCAGUCUUUUAUUUAGAUACAAAAUACAGUGGUAGCAUUUUGACUGUGAUACUUAGAAACAUAGAAUGUGAUGGCAGAUAAGAACCAUUCGCCCCAUCUAGUAUGCACAAUAUUUUGAAAUAGUUUUAAUUAGUCCCUGGCCUUAUCUUAAGUCUAGGAUAGCCUUAUGCCUAUCCCACGCAUGCUUAAACUCCCUCACUGCAUUAACCUCUACCUCUUAAGCUGGAAGGUUAUUCCAUGCAUCCACUACCCUCUCAGUAAAGUAAUACUUCCUGAUAUUAUUUUUAAACCUUUGACCCUCUAAUUUAAGACUGUCCUCUUGUUGUGGUAGUUUUUCUUCUUUUAAAUAUAGUCUCCUCCUUUACUGUGUUGAUUUCCUUUAUAUAUUUAAAUGUUUCUAUCAUAUCCCCCCUGUCUUGUCUUUCCUCCAAGCUAUACAUGUUAAGAUCCUUUAACCUUUCCUGGUAUGUUUUAUCCUGCAAUCCAUGAACCAGUUUAGUAGCCCUUCUCUGAACGCUCUCUAAAGUAUCAAUAUCAUUCUGUAGAUACGGUCUCCAGUACUGCGUACAAUACUCCAGAGGUCUCACCAGUGUUCUGUACCAUGGCAUGAGCACUUCCCUCUUUCUUUAAAAAAAAAAAAAAAUUCUUUAUUUUUCGUGCAUAGGUUAAUGUUACAAGCUUUCAUGCAUUGCCCCAACAGCAUUAGCAUGUACCGAGGUAAACAAGAUUAAACAGUCGUGGCACAGGGAACAUUUGCACAUUUUUGUUUUAAAAGGUUGUCAAGAGUGCUAGUCAGUGAUGGCACAAUAUGUGAUGAGAAGUCAAGCUAUACUGACUGGCUAUACUUGUAUGUUAACUAGGAGAGACGUGCUUGAGCAGCAGAUUGAUGAGCCUCACCUCUGUCUGGUCCUGUGUAUUAUGUGUAUUAUGUAAAUGGUAAAUGUUUGUGUGACAUGCACAUGCUUGGCUUAUCAGUAGUAUGUUUCUACGUUUGGGUCUGGCCCCUCUUUCCUCUCCACUUCUCAUGUAAUGUGUUAACUUUUGGAUCUGAGCCUAUAAUCUGAAAGAGUGUGGGUUUGAGGGGAAAGGCCUAUGGUUGUAGUGUGGCUAGCUAUACAUGCAAGUCAUAGGACAAACAAACAUUGUUCUUAUCGUAGUGCACAACACAUUAGAGUCACUCAGAGGAGAGAACACUUAAUCCUGGUCAUGUUUUGCGGCUCUCGGUGGUUAGUGCAGGCAGCGGCCGCUCACUUCAGAUGGUCAGUCCGGUUUUAGCCAACACCCACACUAGGUAUGUGCUCGCUAAGGGCUGAUGGCAUCCCUAGGGUUGCAGAGCAAUAGGGGUAGCGUCCUUCACCUUUUUGGCCUCGGGCCGGCUUGAGGACCAGUAUCUCUGAGCCAUGAGCCUGGUGGCCCGAAGAGUCUAAGUCCUGUCUGCCGCGUGUGCGGUGGAGGGUCCUGGUCCUUGGUCGCCAUCUGCGGUGGAUUAUUCUCAGUCUGUGUGGUGAUCAUUGCCGGGUGAGUACUCGUGAGGCCCCCGGUCUGUGUGAAUUGGGCUUGGAUUUGGCAGCGUGUCCGGGUGCGUUUUGCGCCUAUUUGUGAGCCUUCCAUUCCUUGACCAGCGCCCCUCUGGGGGCUCCUCUUUGAGGCUGUUGCUGUGUGCUUGUCUAGCUUAGCCCAGAAUCGGGCAAACAGCUCGUCCAGUUGUUGGAGUGUCCUCUCCAUGGAGUACGUUGUGGUGAUUGAGCUGCGUUUGUCCGCCAUCUUCGGCGCCCCUGGAGCUCGUGGUUGCCGGUAGCAUGUAGCAGGUGCCGGCUGCCCGGUUGAGUUGUGCAUGCCUGGGAGGACUGGGAUAACCCCAUCUCCUACGGCCAGUUGAAGCCGUAGGAGAACGGCCGUCUCUCCUCGGUCUGGUCACUGGUAGGCCGCAAAGCCUCAAGGUGGAUUUGCCCGUGGAGGAGAGACCUGCAAGAGGUAUCCCCGGAACCGCCGACAUGUCAGGAACAGGUUUGGUGUUGCUUUCCAGCCCGGUAAGUAUUUGGCUCUCUAUUUUCAUCAAGUUUAGUGUACCAGCCACAGGAGCUCAUGCAGUACACGUCUGUACAGCUCUGUAGCCAGGCUCCGCCCCCGAACUUCCCUCUUUCUAUUGCUAAUACCUCUCCCUAUACAACCAAGCAUUCUAUUUCCUGCUGCUCUAUUACAUUGUCUGCCUACAUUUAAGUCAUCAGAAAUAAUCACCCCUAAAUCCCUUUCCUCAGAUGUUAAGGUUAGGACUCUGUCAAAUAUUCUGUACCUUGCCCUUUGGUUUUUACGUCCAAGAGGCAUAAUCUUGCACUUAUCCACAUUAAAUGUCAGUGGCCACAACUCUGACCAUAUUUCUAGUUUACCUAAAUCAUUUGCCAUUUGGCUUAUCCCUCCUGGAACAUCAACCCUGUUACAUAUCUUAGUAUCAUCAGCAAAAAGACAUACCUUACCAUCAAGACCUUCUGCAAUAUCACUAAUAAAAAUAUUAAAGAGAAUGGGUCCAAGUACAGAUCCCUGAGGCAGUGGCGGACUAAGGGGUGGGUGGAGGGGGCGGUCCGCCCCGGGUGCCACCUGGUAGGGGGGCGCCUUGACCCUGGUCUUGGGGCUGGAGGGGGCUGUGUGAGCUGUGCCCCAUGGCAGCUGGGGUGUCACACAGCUCACAUGCAGAGACCAGCAAGAUGAACUGGCCGCACAGGAGGAAGAAGGGGGUGAGGCUAUGGCCGUUCAGGGGUGGAGCCUAAUCACGAGUGGGGCUGGGCUUAAUACGGC
rnacentral:lncRNA from 1 species